CAGGACGAACGCUGGCGGCGUGCUUAACACAUGCAAGUCGAACGAUGAAGCCCUUCGGGGUGGAUUAGUGGCGAACGGGUGAGUAACACGUGGGCAAUCUGCCCUUCACUCUGGGACAAGCCCUGGAAACGGGGUCUAAUACCGGAUAACACUCUGUCCCGCAUGGGACGGGGUUAAAAGCUCCGGCGGUGAAGGAUGAGCCCGCGGCCUAUCAGCUUGUUGGUGGGGUAAUGGCCUACCAAGGCGACGACGGGUAGCCGGCCUGAGAGGGCGACCGGCCACACUGGGACUGAGACACGGCCCAGACUCCUACGGGAGGCAGCAGUGGGGAAUAUUGCACAAUGGGCGAAAGCCUGAUGCAGCGACGCCGCGUGAGGGAUGACGGCCUUCGGGUUGUAAACCUCUUUCAGCAGGGAAGAAGCGAAAGUGACGGUACCUGCAGAAGAAGCGCCGGCUAACUACGUGCCAGCAGCCGCGGUAAUACGUAGGGCGCAAGCGUUGUCCGGAAUUAUUGGGCGUAAAGAGCUCGUAGGCGGCUUGUCACGUCGGAUGUGAAAGCCCGGGGCUUAACCCCGGGUCUGCAUUCGAUACGGGCUAGCUAGAGUGUGGUAGGGGAGAUCGGAAUUCCUGGUGUAGCGGUGAAAUGCGCAGAUAUCAGGAGGAACACCGGUGGCGAAGGCGGAUCUCUGGGCCAUUACUGACGCUGAGGAGCGAAAGCGUGGGGAGCGAACAGGAUUAGAUACCCUGGUAGUCCACGCCGUAAACGUUGGGAACUAGGUGUUGGCGACAUUCCACGUCGUCGGUGCCGCAGCUAACGCAUUAAG
rnacentral:rRNA from 1 species